AACGAACGCUGGCAGCAGGCUUAACACAUGCAAGUCGAGCGAAGACUUCGGUCUUAGCGGCGGACGGGUGAGUAACGCGUGGGAAUAUGCCCUUUGCUACGGAAUAGUCCUGGGAAACUGGGGGUAAUACCGUAUGUGCCCUUCGGGGGAAAGAUUUAUCGGCAAAGGAUUAGCCCGCGUUGGAUUAGGUAGUUGGUGGGGUAAUGGCCUACCAAGCCGACGAUCCAUAGCUGGUUUGAGAGGAUGAUCAGCCACACUGGGACUGAGACACGGCCCAGACUCCUACGGGAGGCAGCAGUGGGGAAUCUUAGACAAUGGGGGCAACCCUGAUCUAGCCAUGCCGCGUGAGUGAUGAAGGCCUUAGGGUUGUAAAGCUCUUUCAGCUGGGAAGAUAAUGACGGUACCAGCAGAAGAAGCCCCGGCUAACUCCGUGCCAGCAGCCGCGGUAAUACGGAGGGGGCUAGCGUUGUUCGGAAUUACUGGGCGUAAAGCGCACGUAGGCGGACCAGCAAGUUAGGGGUGAAAUCCCGGGGCUCAACCUCGGAACUGCCUUUAAAACUGUUGGUCUGGAGUUCGAGAGAGGUGAGUGGAAUACCGAGUGUAGAGGUGAAAUUCGUAGAUAUUCGGUGGAACACCAGUGGCGAAGGCGGCUCACUGGCUCGAUACUGACGCUGAGGUGCGAAAGCGUGGGGAGCAAACAGG
rnacentral:rRNA from 1 species